AAUUCCCCAGGAAUUGGGAGCAAAUCCCAAAAAUCCUUUAUUGGCAGUGGGGGGGGAUUGCGACGUUCUGGGGGGGGCCGGGGGAUCCCCCCGGGGAAUCUGGGGAUCACAGAGAGACCUCCCGGGGCUGGGAACAGCGGGAUCCCAAUGGAUCCCAACGGAUCCCAAUGGAUCCCCGGGGAUCUGCCCCAGAUGGGGGCGCUCGGGGGGCUCCUCUGUGUGAGUGGGCAGCUGGAUCUGGGAUCUGCACCUGGAGAUCUGCCAGAAUCAGAUCCUGGGAUCUGGGAUCUGCACCUGGAGAACCAGAAUCUGAUCCUGGGAUCUGCACCUGGAGCAGAGCUGGGAUCAGAUCCCGGGAUCUGGGAUCUGCACCUGGAACAGAACCAGAAUCGGAUCCCGGGAUCUGGGAUCUGCACCUGGAGCAGAGCUGAACCAAUCAGAUCCUGGGAUCUGCACCGGGAGCAGAACCAGAAUCAGAUCCCGGGAUCUGGGAUCCACACUGGGAGCAGUUGGGGACAGGUGGGAUCCCCUGAUCCGGAUCCCAGACCCCACAGGUGGGAUCCCCUGAUCUGGAUCCCAGAUCCCACAGGAGGGAUCCCCUGAUCUGGAUCCCAGAUCCCA
rnacentral:lncRNA from 1 species